CACGACUCUCUGAACAUCACAAACUCUGUUAGAGUCCUGAGCCUGACUGGAAGUGACUGGAGUAGUUAUAGCAUGCAAGUUUUACAGAAACCUAACUAAUAAUUAUUUGUGUAUAUUUUGUAGGGUAGCUAGACUGAUUUUCUAGCAUGUCAAUUCCUGAUGCGUAAGUGCAUUAGGUCCUUAUUGUCUGAGUAAACAUAGUAACAACAGUUGUGAGUUCUUUUGACAUGUGUACUCAGCUUUGACACAUUGUUUGACACCCUACAGUAGGAUUUUGGGUUUAUCACAUUUCAUUGAGGGAUUUUGAUAGGUCUCAAACAUGCUGGAAGCACCUAAAGAAUGAGGUUGUUCUUCUAGAGUUAAAUGUGGUUGUUUUGGUUUCCCCAAUCACUGAUGUGGGGACAGUAAAGAUAAUUGUAAAUGCCUUUGAGAGGGUUUACACUGUUUAAAUGGGUCUACAGUAGGAAAGAGUGCAGCACAAUGCAUCGAUCUCUCUGUUGUAAAUGUAGCUCAAAGUGUUUAAUAUAUGUUGGCUGUGUGGAAAUUCAUGGCUACUUCUGGGUUUUACCGCAGACUUUGGAAAGCACUAACAUUGAAGUUAGUUUAUGUUUGUGGUAUUCACUUAGGUACAGAUAUAGUCACUGUCCUUUAUGGCAAACAUCUGGACAGGGCAAAGCAAAUGGCACGAAGGAGUGUGUGUGAUGUUUGGUGAGGCAUCUGUGCCUCAAUCCCUAAUAACACUGGGGGUGAGGGUCUUUUAAUCAAUAAAUAAAUAUUAAUAAAUUGGGAAACAUGGGUUGAUGGAUUUAAUGAUAAAUUGGGAAAGAUAUAUCACACACUGAAAGACUUCCUUAUCUAAACAACGGGUUCUUAUGAAAGAGCAGCUUGAUGUAACUAAAGUUGAAGUUUUCUUUUGCAGAUGAACAACAGAGGCUGUUUCAUUUCUGUAUAUGAUCUCAUAUUGUGUUUUCCUUUAUGAUAUAACUGCCAUCCUUCAAACAAAGGGUGGAGACUCAGAUGGAGCGAAGAUGACCAUAAAGUGUGAGUUUGUUUGUUUUUUUCCCUUCUGAUUAUAGGGAGGAUGCACAUUAUGGAAUUUCUUUGAGUACGCAAUUGUGCUGAUGUUAUUUUCAGUAGUUAGAAAAGAAAUCUCCAUGGUUUUAUGUGAUUCUUAAUUGUGGUAUCACAAAGGGUGGGAAUGUGGUGGCAGAUUUCUUUUUUCAUAUAUUAAUCACAUAUUUAAUUAUAUCACAUUAGUUGUAGUAAUAUCACUUUCUCACUUUACCAUAGUAAGAGCACUCCUGCCACUACUUUACAUGCAUGUGGAAAGUUAACACAGUGAGGCCAUUGUAAUGGGAGACAUUAAACAGAUAGUGAGACUUCUUCUGCUUAUCAGGGAUGUAAAUCCUUAGGUGAAGGCUAAGCAGAAAACAAGGUCAUAAUUCUCUCUGUGCGGGAGGAGGUAUAGCCCCCCGUGAGAGGGGCCAACAUGUUAGAGUUUGUGCAAUGUUCUUUGUCUGUGUGUCUGUAUAUAAGAUGUAAGGGCAGUGGCCACAAGGCAGAGAUGGUCCUGGUGUUUCACUGGGAUACUCUCUCCACAUUGCAAUGUAUUUAUUAAACCCACUUCAAAUCAAGCUCACUGGGUGUGUUGCAGGUUAUUGUUAAAAUUUCCAUAACACUACUUAUGAGAAUAUUGACAAUACUGUGCAUUGUUAAGAGAUUACAUUGCUGCAUUCUGUUGUUUUUGUCCUUUUUUUCUCCCCCCAUGUUCACCUUAUGAGGUCACCAAAUACUCUUGUCUUUAUUGGUUUAUGCAUAAAGAGAGCAGGAACUUUCUCACUUGCACCUCAGCAAAGGUGUUUUUCUCUUCUGUACUAGAAGCACCAAGGUUAAUCAUAAACCAGGAUUACCAGGAUCCAGGUGCAUUCUAGGGCACCCAGGCGUUUCAGGCUUUCUGUCAUUUGAAAUGAAAAUGUUAGUAUGUUAUAUAGAUCAAAAUACCAGCUAACUAUAAGAACCUUGAUAUGAGUCAUCUGUUUGAACAUACACUGUCUGUGUUCUCUAAUACUCUGACGUUUAAUACUGAGAAACUGCAGGAUACAACUUUAAUUAUUAACUGACAAGUGAGGUCUUUGUUUUUUGGAAAUACAAAUACAUUUCCUCAAAGUCACCAAAUAAAAUACUCAAUGUGUAAUGAAGUGUAUUUUAUUUAAGAAAGCCACUAAAGACAAAUAAAGUAGCUCUCUAUGAAUAUAUAAGGUGAUGUCAUGUGAUCAGCUAUAGCGAGGCAUGCAAACUUUUCUUCUGUCAAAAUAGUAUGUGUGUGUCUGUGUGUGUAUAAGUAAAUAAACAGUGUUGAUGCUGAUGGAUGGUGGAUACCCACUGGUGACACGUGUGCUUUAUGGACCCUGUGAGAAAAUUUCCAAGAUCUUUAUCACAGAGGCGGACCUGGGAGAGGAAGUCACAUAUGAUACACACAUCAAAACAAUGGCGCAAUGAUAGACAGUUGGGUUAUAAUUAGCAAGCUGAGAAAUAUGGGCUCAAAAUGUGGUCAUAAAUAUUUUGUACUUGUAAAUCAGUUUUGUACUUGUAAAUCAGGAUUUGUAUGUGUAAAAAGAAUUUGUGUGUGUAAAAAAGAUCUGCGUGUGUGUAGAAAAGAUUUGUAUGCAUUUAAAAAGAAUUUGUGUGUGUGUAAAAAAGAUUUGUAUGUGUAAAAAGAAUGUGUGUGUGCAUAAAAAAAGAUUUGUAUGUGUAAAAAGAAUUUGUGUGUGCUAAAAAAGAUUUGUGUGCGGACUUAGCCAAAGAAACCCUGCAAGUUACAAGUACGAAUUUUGACCUGAUUUUUCUUCCUUUCAUC
ensembl:lncRNA